GCGGACGGGUGAGUAACACGUGGGUAACCUGCCCCCAAGUGGGGGAUAACAUUUGGAAACAGAUGCUAAUACCGCAUAGAUCCAAGAACCGCAUGGUUCUUGGCUGAAAGAUGGCGUAAGCUAUCGCUUUUGGAUGGACCCGCGGCGUAUUAGCUAGUUGGUGAGGUAAUGGCUCACCAAGGCGAUGAUACGUAGCCGAACUGAGAGGUUGAUCGGCCACAUUGGGACUGAGACACGGCCCAAACUCCUACGGGAGGCAGCAGUAGGGAAUCUUCCACAAUGGACGCAAGUCUGAUGGAGCAACGCCGCGUGAGUGAAGAAGGCUUUCGGGUCGUAAAACUCUGUUGUUGGAGAAGAAUGGUCGGCAGAGUAACUGUUGUCGGCGUGACGGUAUCCAACCACAAAGCCACGGCUAACUACGUGCCAGCAGCCGCGGUAAUACGCAGGUGGCAAGCGUUAUCCGGAUUUAUUGGGCGUAAAGCGAGCGCAAGCGGUUUUUUAAGUCUGAUGUGAAAGCCCUCGGCUUAACCGAGGAAGCGCAUCGGAAACUGCCAAACUUGAGUGCAGAACACGACAGUGGAACUCCAUGUGUA
rnacentral:rRNA from 1 species